rnacentral:rRNA from 1 species
CCUACGGGAGGCAGCAGUGGGGAAUAUUGGGCAAUGGAGGAAACUCUGACCCAGCGACGCCGCGUGCGGGAUGAAGGCCUUCGGGUUGUAAACCGCUUUCAGUAGGGAAGAAGCGAAAGUGACGGUACCUACAAAAGAAGCACCGGCUAACUACGUGCCAGCAGCCGCGGUAAUACAUAGGGUGCAAGCGUUGUCCGGAAUUAUUGGGCGUAAAGAGCUCGUAGGUCGUUUGUUACGUCGGAUGUGAAAACCUGAGGCUCAACCUCAGGCCUGCAUUCGAUACGGGCAAACUAGAGUUUGGUAGGGGAGACUGGAAUUCCUGGUGUAGCGGUGGAAUGCGCAGAUAUCAGGAGGAACACCAAUGGCGAAGGCAGGUCUCUGGGCCAAUACUGACACUGAGGAGCGAAAGUCUGGGGAGCGAACAGGAUUAGAUACCCUGGUAGUCCAGACCGUAAACGGUGGGCACUAGUUGUGGGAACCUUCCACGGUUUCUGCGACGCAGCUAACGCAUUAAGUGCCCCGCCUGGGGAGUACGAUCGCAAGAUUAAAACCUCAAAGGAAUUGACGG